GCGGGACGGGGUUCGCUCUGGUCAUCAAGCGCGUUGAACACUUCAGCCCUGAUGCGAGCCUUCAACUGCCCCAAGACUCCUCGAGACUCCAGGGUCUCUCUUAACGCUUGAAGUAAAGACGUUCAUCACAAGGGGUGAUGCCUUUGAGUGCCCAAUCCAGGCCUUUGCGGUACUGCAACCCAUAAUCAUGGAACUCGAUGGUGCCAGUCUGGGGCCAGGCCAGGGGCAGGGUACUGCCCUCCACACUCCAAGCAGCCUAGGGUGGAAGGUCCCUUUCGCUCUGAGUGAGUGAGUAAAGCUCACCAAGAUGUGGGAAGAGGAGGAGCAGAACACACCGAGGAUGGACCCAUGGGUGUGUCACACACCACACUAGGCUGUGGCUUCCAGCCUCUCGACUUCACCACCACCACCAGGCAGAUGUUAGAAGACAUUAGGGUCUCUUGAGUUUGUUUUCUUGUUUUUCUACAUGAAAAUGCAUAGAGAAGUGAUCGAGGACCGACCAGGCUUUGGUACACUACAGUGUAGGUUUGACCACAUGCCUGAUUCGAACUGGUGUGUCAUUUGUCACAACAUUUUGAGUCUCUUCGGUCGGAAAAAUAUUUUACGAUGAUGUCGACUUGUGUAAGAGUGGAGCGUGAGAGAGAAAGGGUGGAAUCUGAUACUGAAUUAAAAGCUGCGUUGGUGUAGCGGUCAUGUGGUCAGGGCUAGGCACGGGUCAUGUUAUCCACUGGGGUGUGUGUUGGAUGAAUGGAACGAGGAGGACAGACAGACAGACACUCAUUCACACUUUCCUCAUAGGAAGCCAGUGUGUGAAUGGGCAAAGGGGAGUAAGUGAAUCACGAGCUUCCUCCAAAAGGGGUUUCAGAACCACAAGAUUCCUUCCCAGGCAUUCACUCAGACUUUUGGACACAUUGUGACGG